rnacentral:rRNA from 1 species
UUCAACGGCCGCGGUAUCCUAACCGUGCGAAGGUAGCGUAAUCACUUGUUCUUUAAAUGAGGACUAGUAUGAACGGCUUCACGAAGGCUAUACUGUCUCCCUUAUCUAAUCAGUUAAACUAAUCUCCCCGUGAAGAAGCGGGGAUUCACAUAUAAGACGAGAAGACCCUAUGGAGCUUAAAACACCUCUAAACAUUUGACCUCCACACUACUAUUUUCAGAAAUCCUCACAAAGCCCGUCAUUUUGUUUUAAGUUUUAGGUUGGGGUGACCGCGGAGAAUAACCUAACCUCCACGUAGAAAGAACUUUCUUUUCUAAGCAAAAAGCUACAUCUUUAUGCAUCAACAUAUUGACCUAAUUGACCCAAUUAUU